CCGCCAUAAAUAGCCGCGCAGCGAGCACAUGUGUCUCUCUCUGCGCCGGCUCGGGCCAGAGUCAUGGGGGGGCCGGACGCCUGGGUUCCCUCCCGCCGCUGGCCGGCCUUGGGGGGCUGGGUAGUAGUGGAGCUGGCGCUGAGGCCCUGCGGGGGCGUUUAGGUGGUGGUGAUGUGUGGAGCUGGUGCUAAGGCCCCUGGGGCAUCUGGCUGGAUUCUCACCCCAUGUCUGUCUCUGAUGUGAGACCCCUGGGGUCUCUGGAUGGAGAGCAGGACCAGAACAGUGCGGCGGCAGGGCACUGUGACAUUUGGAUUCAGCAAGGAGGCUCCUGGGGUGUCUGGUUUCCUAAGGAAGGGUGCUUGUUGGAUUUCAGCUUUGGUUACUCACCAGCACCCCCUCUGGCUGUGAUGGAGACUGGAAUCCAGGGCCUGCUCCGUGGGUGAUGGGACAGGCAGCUGGACUGAAUAAUGGGGAAGUGAAAGGAGAAGUGGGGAGACUGCACAGCCCAGGCCUGCCUCACUGCUCAGUGUGGACAGGAGCCAGGGGCUAUGGGCCGGGAGUGGGGGCACUGCAAGCAUCUCGCAGGGGGGUGUCACGUAAAGAACAGGGAUGUUGCCUCAAUAAACAACUGUGGAACAAA